rnacentral:rRNA from 1 species
GGACGAACGCUGGCGGCGUGCUUCAUACAUGCAAGUCGAACGAGAAAUUCACUCGGUGGAUGGAAAGUGGCGGACGGGUGAGUAAUGUGUAGAGAAUCUGCCCUAGAGUGGGGGACAACAGUUGGAAACGACUGCUAAUACCCCAUAUGCGCGUAGUUGAGAUACUAUUCGUGAAAAACUCCGGUGCUCUGGGAUGAGUCUGCAUCUGAUUAGCUAGUUGGGGGUGUAAUGGACCACCAAGGCGACGAUCAGUAGCUGGUUUGAGAGGAUGAUCAGCCACAAUGGGACUGAGACACGGCCCAUACUCCUACGGGAGGCAGCAGUAGGGAAUUUUGCGCAAUGGGGGAAACCCUGACGCAGCAACGCCGCGUGACCGAUUAAGCCCUUCGGGGUGUAAAGGUCUGUCAGUGGGGACGAAACCUGACGGUACCCACAGAGGAAGCAUCGGCUAACUCCGUGCCAGCAGCCGC